UUUUGACCCAGUCAUAAUUGC
rnacentral:misc_RNA from 1 species